GGCCCCAUAGCUCAGGGGAUAGAGCAGAGGUUUCCUAAACCUUGUGUCGCAGGUUCGAAUCCUGCUGGGGUCGCCG
rnacentral:tRNA from 1 species